UUUGCCAUCGCUGGAUUUAAAAUGCGGAUUCAAAUAAACCGUAGGGAUGUGUUGCUGCUGCUGCUGAUCAAGCUGCCGAUGAUGUUGAUCGCGUGAGUGCUGUUUAUAAAAAUUCAUGAAGACCAUGAACAGAGGCCGUGAUGAUGCCUGCCUCCGGAAUGCAUGUGUUGCAGCGUUCUCGGCACAAGUUGGAAAGUCCUUCAACAACAGAUUCUCGGCACAAGUUGGAAAGUCCUUCAACAACAGAUACCGACAAUUAGACCAUGAAGACCAUGAACAGAGGCCGUGAUGAUGCCUGCCUCCGGAAUGCAUGUGUUGCAGCGUUCUCGGCACAAGUUGGAAAGUCCUUCAACAACAGCGUUCUCGGCACAAGUUGGAAAGUCCUUCAACAUCAGAUACCGACAAUUAGAUGCCGGCAUAAACUAAAAUUAACCGGAUGAGUCAACCAGAUCAUUCUACCCGUGCUAAAAAGGAAUUUUAACAUCAUGGAGUAUAUUUUCCAGCGCCGGAAAGAUAGACAGGACGAUACCUAUUUUAAAAGCAAAGUAAUACGAUGAGCGUUUGGAUGCGAAUGGAAUACGUAAAUGAUUAACUUCACACCGAUUUAGUAUAGGGAUCCUGGAAUUCCCGAAUAAGAAUCCACUCCAUCAAAUUGUAAUUUGAAACAAUAGCGUAAUA